UACGAGGGGGGCGAGCGUUAUCCGGAAUUACUGGGCGUAAAGCGCACGCAGGCGGUUCGCCAAGUUUGGAGUGACAGUUGUCGGCUCAACCGACAAAGGACUUCAAAAACUGGUGAACUUGAGGACGAGAGAGGAACAUGGAACUCCAGGUGUAGUAGUGAAAUGCGUAGAUAUCUGGAAGAACACCAAUGGCGAAGGCAAUGUUCUGGCUCGUUUCUGACGCUCAGGUGCGAAAGCCAGGGGAGCGAACGGG
rnacentral:rRNA from 1 species